rnacentral:lncRNA from 1 species
GAAUGGGAAGAGGAUGGGAAGCCCCACGCACGCUGCAGCUGCCGGGAAAGAAGCCCAGCAGCUCUCCUCCCCGGCGCACCGCUGGGAGAUGGCACGGUGCUGGGCUCCAGGCUGGCACCGAGCGUUUCUAUCAGCUCCUGUUGGCUGUGGAAGUCCAAUUCCCUCCACCUUUUCCCCCUGCAACUCCAAGCAUCAGGUCUGGGCAGGCAAAAAGCAGCUCAGCACCCUCCAAAAGCAGCUGCUGUGCGCAACCGGAGUGCGCACGGGAAGGAAAAAGCUGGUGGCAAGGGCUGGUGGCUGCUGAUUUCACAGCUUCCACGGGAGGGAUUUCAUCUCUGGGUUAGGGUUUUUCUCCCCCUUCUCCUUUCUGGAUCUCUGAGCUCCCUGCCCCAAAGCACAGCUCACACCUGGGUGGGUUUGCUGCUAUCCCCAAAUAUCUGGCUCUCAGGCUUGGCUUUUGGCUCAGGAGCACCGGAUGGUCCCCAAGGCCAGGCAGAUGCCACCCAUCCUGCCCCGUGGUGGGAGCCUGGGGGUUUGUUUGCAAAGCCUGCGUCUGCUCCCUGCUCGAUUAAAGGCUGGUCCUGGCUCCAAAGGGCGAGGAAACCUCUCCCCACCCUCCUGCUCCUGAGGCUCAGCAGGACGAGGAGCUCACCGCCCUGCAGCAAACCCAGCACCAUGCCAGGCUGCGAACCUGGGGGCAUCACCCUGGAGCAGGCACAGGCACAGGGAUGCAACCAAAUCCCCGUGCAAGUGGUGCAAAUCCCACUGGGAGCCCAAACCCGUGCCCACCUCGCAGGAUUCUGGCACUGGGCUCCAUCCCCAGGGCCAGGAAGGGCAGGGGAAGAGCAAAAACAAAGCUGGCCAAGGGGUGAUUCAGCACAGAACUCCUCGGGGACACGAAGGAGAAGGGGACACCCCGGCCAAAGUCUAAGGGUUGCGCUCUCGGGAAGCCCGUGGCCGCGCAGCUUUGCUCAGAGCACCGAGCCAGGGAAGCCGAGUUCCCCGCAGCGCUUUGUUGAACAACUGGGAGCGAAUUCCAGGAGCAAGCACACCCUCUGCAGCAUUUCCAGGCAGCUGAUGGCACCGGGAUCUCAGCCCCCAGCACGGGAGGAAGCUCAGCGAGCAGCUGAAAAGCUCGGAGAGGCACCGGGGCAGGAGGCAGGAGGGUGCCACGGGCGCUUCCACCGCCCCCAUAAAGAGCAGGGGGAGCGGAGAUAA